UUUCAAGUGUGGCGUCUGAAUGUGCUUUUAGUACUGGAGGGCGCAUACUUGAUUCAUUUAGGAGUUCAUUAAACUCCUAAAUUGGUACAAGCUCUAGUGUGCCUUCAAGAUUGGCUUCGGAGUGAGCCACAACCCAUAAGUAUUGAGGAAGAUUUAGAUUUUCUUGAGCAACUUGAAGAAGAUUUGGCUAAACUUGGAAAAGAACUUUGCAUUGAUGACAUGUAAAAUUGGAGGUUUCCUUCACUAACUCUACUAAAGGAGAAGGAAGAUUUCAUCAUGCCUCGACUUCAUGAUUCUAAUGCUCGAUCACCUGUUUGGAAUCACUAUGAAAAGCUUGAAGAAAAAGAAGAUGGAUCGUGGACAGU